rnacentral:rRNA from 1 species
UACGUAGGGACCAAGCGUUGUCCGGAUUUACUGGGCGUAAAGAGCGCGCAGGCGGUCGUUCAAGUCGAGUGUGAAAGCCCCCGGCUCAACUGGGGAGGGUCACUCGAUACUGAUCGACUCGAAGGCAGGAGAGGGUAGUGGAAUUCCCGGUGUAGUGGUGAAAUGCGUAGAUAUGGGGAGGAACACCGGUGGCGAAGGCGGCCAUCUGGACGGUCACUGACGCUGAGACGCGAAAGCGUGGGGAGCAAACAGG